AUGCAACCUACCUAUCACUGGGGGAUAGCCCGGGGAAACCCGGAUUAAUACCGCAUAACACAGGGGCUCCACAUGGAGAUAUUUGUUAAAGAUUUAUCGGUGGUAGAUGGGCAUGCGUUCGAUUAGCUAGUUGGCGGGGUAACGGCCCACCAAGGCGACGAUCGAUAGGGGAGCUGAGAGGUUGAUCCCCCACACGGGCACUGAGAUACGGGCCCGACUCCUACGGGAGGCAGCAGUAGGGAAUAUUGGGCAAUGGAUGCAAGUCUGACCCAGCCAUGCCACGUGCCGGAUG
rnacentral:rRNA from 1 species